GGCCUCUGGGUACUUGCCACAGGCUGUGUUCUCACGCAGCCUGCACAGAGAGAGGAGAAAGAGCAAACCCACCGCGUACACACCUCAGCCCAGGCCCUUUGCCUGAUCUGUAUUGUGAAGGGGGAAACAUGG